CGCAAGGUGGCUGAAAUUUAGGUGAAGGAUUGUAGCUCUUUUUAUAGGGAAAAUUCCCUUCUUGUGA
rnacentral:tRNA from 1 species